AUGCUUAAACCGUCCAAAUAGACGCCAUAUUGAAAUGUGCAUUAAUGUUUGCAGGACAUCAAGCAGAUGCUGUGGAGCCUCGGCUCGUGAAGUACAGCGAGUAUCCGGUGUUCUUCAGCUGUGACAUUGUGAUCCCGUCGUUCCGUAGUGAAGUCCGAUCUCCUGCUCCUGCAUUUAGAUAUUUCUAGAUGGGUACAAAGAUUAAACUCUUUAAGAGGGAUGCGAAUACAAGAGAAGACAUCACAAGUUCUGACAGACUCUGUGAUAAAGAAGUUUUCAGAGACCACAGAGUCUGACUUGCAAGCCUCAAAGGUAGAAAAG